UGGUUCCGGCAUCGAUGAAGAACGCAGCGAAAUGCGAUAAGUAAUGUGAAUUGCAGAAUUCAGUGAAUCAUCGAAUCUUUGAACGCACAUUGCGCCCUUUGGCAUUCCGAAGGGCAUGUCUGUUCGAGCGUCAUUGCAUCUUCGUUCCGGCGUGUCGCUGGAUGUUGAGCCCUGUCGGUGUCGCCGGCAGGCUCGCAAGUUAAUGUCGUCCCCCGCGGGGCUUGGAGCGUAGUCAGCACUUGCUUUCGCUCGUCAAGCCUGCGUGGUGGCUCUGGCCUCCCCCCCCCCCUUCGGUCGGAACACCUCUGUGGCCGGCCCUAGACCUGCAGCAAAAUUGACCUCGGAUCAGAUAAGGAUACCCGCUGA
rnacentral:misc_RNA from 1 species